CCUCAUACAUAUUUUUUUAAAUUCAAUUUUCCUGAAAACACUUUCUAAUGCAGGUCUGCUUGUUCCCCUAANAAGAGAAGAGAAGAGAAGAGAAGAGAAGAGAAGAGAAGAGAAGAGAAGAGAAGAGAAGAGAAGAGAAGAGAAGAGAAGAGAAGAGAAGAGAAGAGAAGAGAAGAGAAGAGAAGAGAAGAGAAGAGAAGAGAAGAGAAGAGAAGAGAAGAGAAGAGAAGAGAAGAGAAGAGAAGAGAAGAGAAGAGAAGAGAAGAGAAGAGAAGAGAAGAGAAGAGAAGAGAAGAGAAGAGAAGAGAAGAGAAGAGAAGAGAAGAGAAGAGAAGAGAAGAGAAGAGAAGAGAAGAGAAGAGAAGAGAAGAGAAGAGAAGAGAAGAGAAGAGAAGAGAAGAGAAGAGAAGAGAAGAGAAGAGAAGAGAAGAGAAGAGAAGAGAAGAGAAGAGAAGAGAAGAGAAGAGAAGAGAAGAGAAGAGAAGAGAAGAGAAGAGAAGAGAAGAGAAGAGAAGAGAAGAGAAGAGAAGAGAAGAGAAGAGAAGAGAAGAGAAGAGAAGAGAAGAGAAGAGAAGAGAAGAGAAGAGAAGAGAAGAGAAGAGAAGAGAAGAGAAGAGAAGAGAAGAGAAGAGAAGAGAAGAGAAGAGAAGAGAAGAGAAGAGAAGAGAAGAGAAGAGAAGAGAAGAGAAGAGAAGAGAAGAGAAGAGAAGAGAAGAGAAGAGAAGAGAAGAGAAGAGAAGAGAAGAGAAGAGAAGAGAAGAGAAGAGAAGAGAAGAGAAGAGAAGAGAAGAGAAGAGAAGAGAAGAGAAGAGAAGAGAAGAGAAGAGAAGAGAAGAGAAGAGAAGAGAAGAGAAGAGAAGAGAAGAGAAGAGAAGAGAAGAGAAGAGAAGAGAAGAGAAGAGAAGAGAAGAGAAGAGAAGAGAAGAGAAGAGAAGAGAAGAGAAGAGAAGAGAAGAGAAGAGAAGAGAAGAGAAGAGAAGAGAAGAGAAGAGAAGAGAAGAGAAGAGAAGAGAAGAGAAGAGAAGAGAAGAGAAGAGAAGAGAAGAGAAGAGAAGAGAAGAGAAGAGAAGAGAAGAGAAGAGAAGAGAAGAGAAGAGAAGAGAAGAGAAGAGAAGAGAAGAGAAGAGAAGAGAAGAGAAGAGAAGAGAAGAGAAGAGAAGAGAAGAGAAGAGAAGAGAAGAGAAGAGAAGAGAAGAGAAGAGAAGAGAAGAGAAGAGAAGAGAAGAGAAGAGAAGAGAAGAGAAGAGAAGAGAAGAGAAGAGAAGAGAAGAGAAGAGAAGAGAAGAGAAGAGAAGAGAAGAGAAGAGAAGAGAAGAGAAGAGAAGAGAAGAGAAGAGAAGAGAAGAGAAGAGAAGAGAAGAGAAGAGAAGAGAAGAGAAGAGAAGAGAAGAGAAGAGAAGAGAAGAGAAGAGAAGAGAAGAGAAGAGAAGAGAAGAGAAGAGAAGAGAAGAGAAGAGAAGAGAAGAGAAGAGAAGAGAAGAGAAGAGAAGAGAAGAGAAGAGAAGAGAAGAGAAGAGAAGAGAAGAGAAGAGAAGAGAAGAGAAGAGAAGAGAAGAGAAGAGAAGAGAAUUUGGCAGAAAAAUUGAGGGACAAAUACUGAGAAAUGGAGAGAAAGAGUAAUUCUACAUGGCAGCAUUUCACACAGAAGAUUCUACUUACAAUUUACUACAACAGUUUGAUAUUAGCAUGUCAUUGUAUACUUCAAAGUUGCAGUCACAUUUACUGUUAUUCUGCAAAUUUUCUCUGGCAAAAUCAAGUCAUUUCAAUUGUAAUCUAUGUGGUUGGGAAUUUUGC
ensembl:lncRNA